rnacentral:rRNA from 1 species
UACGUAGGGAGCAAGCGUUGUCCGGAAUCAUUGGGCGUAAAGCGCGCGUAGGUGGCUUCGUAAGUCCGUUGUGAAAGUCAAAGGCUCAACCUUUGAAAGCCGAUGGAUACUGCGGAGCUAGAGUACGGAAGAGGCGAGUGGAAUUCCUGGUGUAGCGGUGGAAUGCGCAGAUAUCAGGAGGAACACCGGUGGCGAAAGGCGGGUCUCUGGGCCGAUACUGACGCUGAGGAGCGAAAGCGUGGGGAGCGAACAGG